GAUGAACGCUGGCGGCGUGCCUAAUACAUGCAAGUCGAGCGAACAGAUCAGGAGCUUGCUCCUUUGACGUUAGCGGCGGACGGGUGAGUAACACGUGGGUAACCUACCUAUAAGACUGGAAUAACUCCGGGAAACCGGGGCUAAUGCCGGAUAACAUUUAGCACCUCAUUGUUCUAAAGUGAAAGAUGGUUUUGCUAUCACUUAUAGCUUGACCCGCGCCGUAUUAACUAGUUGGUGGGGUAACGGCUUACCAAGGCAACGAUGCUUACCCGACCUGAACGCGUCAUCGGACAGAUGGGAAGUGAGAAACGGUCCAGACACCUACGGGAGGAAGCAGUCGGGAAUCUUCCGGAAGGGACCAAAGCGUGACGUAGCAACGCCGCGGGAGUGAUGAAGGUCUUCGGAUCGUAAAGCGCUGUUAGUAGGGAAGAACAAAUGUGUAAGUAACUGUGCACGUCAUGACGGUACCUAAUCAGAAAGCCACGGCUAACUCCGUG
rnacentral:rRNA from 1 species